rnacentral:rRNA from 1 species
GCAGGCGGUUUUGUAAGCCAGAUGUGAAAUCCCCGGGCUUAACCUGGGAAUGGCAUUUGGGACUGCAAGGCUUGAGUAUGGCAGAGGGGACUGGAAUUCCUGGUGUAGCAGUGAAAUGCGUAGAUAUCAGGAGGAAUACCGAUGGCGAAGGCAGGUCCCUGGGCUGAUACUGACGCUCAUGCACGAAAGCGUGGGGAGCAAACAGGAUUAGAUACCCUGGUAGUCCACGCCCUAAACGAUGUCGACUGGUUGUUGGGGGUUUGACACCUUCAGUAACGAAGCUAACGCGUGAAGUCGACCGCCUGGGGAGUACGGCCGCAAGGUUAAAACUCAAAGGAAUUGACGGGGACCCGCACAAGCGGUGGAUUAUGUGGAUUAAUUCGAUGCAACGCGAAAAACCUUACCUACCCUUGACAUGUCCUGGAGCCUGGAGAGAUCCGGGUGUGCCCGAAAGGGAACGGGAACACAGGUGCUGCACGGCUGUCGUCAGCUCGUGUCGUGAGAUGUUGGGUUAAGUCCCGCAACGAGCGCAACCCUUGCCAUUAGUUGCUACAUUCAGUUGGGCACUCUAAUGGGACUGCCGGUGACAAACCGGAGGAAGGUGGGGAUGACGUCAAGUCCUCAUGGCCCUUAUGGGUAGGGCUUCACACGUAAUACAAUGGUCGGUACAGAGGGUUGCCAAAGCGCGAGCUGGAGCCAAUCCCAGAAAGCCGAUCGUAGUCCGGAUUGCAGUCUGCAACUCGACUGCAUGAAGUCGGAAUCG